AUGCCUCCCAAAGCUCCCAAGGCACCCAUCACGUGCAACUGGAUGAGAUCCAAUGUCACCGACGACACUUUAGCUGAUUUCGUAAAGACGGGUUACUUGCCCAAGAAGGAAAUCAUGUCUUAUCGUGCCCCUGACCCGUCGGAGGAAAGACCUCAACCAAGAGAUGGUGAGGUGGUGAUAUUUGCUGAUCACAUGAGCCGAGGCUUCGCACCGCCCGGCUCAAGAUUCUUUAGAGAGGUUCUGAACUUCUUUGAUCUGCGGCCGCAAGACAUAGGACCCAAUUCCGUGUCAAAUAUAUGCAACUUCCAAGUAUUCUGCGAAGUCUAUCUUGGAGAAGAGCCCAGCCUGCUGCUCUUUAGAGAGCUAUUUUAUCUGAACCGCCAGAAUGAGUGCGCCAACGGGCCGAGCCUGUUACUUGGUGGAAUCUCCAUUCAACGCCGGAGAGACUGCCUCUUUCCUUAUGCUGAGCCGCCGCCCCGGCUUAAUGUGUGCUUACACGGGCCGGAAGGAUGA
rnacentral:rRNA from 1 species